GUGUCAGCAGCCGCGGUAAUACGUAGGCAGCAAGCGUUGUUCGGAAUUACUGGGCGUAAAGCGUGCGUAGGCGGUGCCUCAAGUUUGGUGUGAAAUCUCCCGGCUCAACCGGGAGGGUGCGCCGAAAACUGAGGUGCUCGAGUGUGGGAGAGGUAGGCGGAAUUCCUGGUGUAGCGGUGAAAUGCGUAGAUAUCAGGAGGAACACCGGCGGUGUAGACGGCUUACUGGACCAUAACUGACGCUGAGGCACGAAAGUGUGGGGAGCAAACAGGAUUAGAUACCCUGGUAGUCC
rnacentral:rRNA from 1 species